UGCGCUGGCAGGGAAGGCGCGGGCUGGGUUUGCACAGCAUCAGGCCUUGGUACCCAAGGAGACCAAGGUUCCAGAUGGUGGAUGCACUGCACCAGUGGCUUCAAGCUCCUGCCUUUGAUUUCGCCACCAUGAUGGAGCAUAACCUUUAACGGUGAGCCAAAAGUGUGGCAAACACAAUAUGGCUGAGGUUGAGGAAAUGGAGCAGUCAGAACUGAAGAAGACAGAAAUUGAAGAGAAAACUCUCCUGCCUCCACAGUCAAGUGUAAAGGACCAAGCUGCCUCUCACAUUACCAAGAACCACAAACAACAAAGGUGACAGUCACCCCUGCCUCUGCCUCCUGCAGGUCUGCCUGACAAGAGACCUUCCUUCCAUGCUGGUAGAGGAACACCCGGCUGGAAGCGGUGAAAUCUGGAG